UACGAAGGGGGCUAGCGUUGCUCGGAAUUACUGGGCGUAAAGGGCGCGUAGGCGGACAGUUUAGUCAGAGGUGAAAGCCCAGGGCUCAACCUUGGAAAUGCCUUUGAUACUGGCUGUCUUGAGUUCGGGAGAGGUGAGUGGAAUGCCGAGUGUAGGGGUGAAAUUCGUAGAUAUUCGGCGGAACACCAGUGGCGAAGGCGACUCACUGGCCCGAUACUGACGCUGAGGCGCGAAAGCGUGGGGAGCAAACAGG
rnacentral:rRNA from 1 species